rnacentral:rRNA from 1 species
AUGGCCGGGGGGACCCUCCUCCGCGUCCUCCCGACCCGCCGUUGGGAUUUCUUGCUCGCGGCGGAGAUGGCGCAGGAUCGUGAGGAGGCCCGCGAGAGGGACGGGGCCCGCGAGGACGAGGCCGCGCCCGCGACGGCCAAGGUGGUUGCUGACGCCGCGACGGCGAAGGGGGCUCCUGAGGCCCCGACGGCGGCGGGAUGGUGGUCGCGGCUCGCGAGCCGGUUCUCCAAGAAGAAGAGGCUGAGCGGCGGCGAGGAGACGGACCCCGAAGCUCAGUCGCUGCUAGCACGCAGCCAGCCUGACCCCAGCCCCAGCCCCAGCCGCUCCCCCUCGGACUCGUCGCCGCCAUGGGGCAACUGGCUCAGUGUCCAGAUGUUUGCGCUCUCUGGGUCGAUGUGCCUGCUUCCGUACAUGGGUCCUGCCGCGCUGCUCGGUAAAGACUAUUCAGAUAACUACAGGUGGUGGGUUCACCUUGUAUUUCAGAUAGUGUUUUGCUUGGUGGUCGUGGGAGUACCCUGCGCCUUGUCCGGACGGUCACGGAUCGAGGAGCAGUAUGCCCGUUUCGCCGCUCACCUCGGGAUGUUGGGUAUCACCGUGGACAUCAUCAUGUUCUCUCACUGGAUGCUGGCCGCCAAUGCCCUGUACACCAUGUGGGCUUUCCUAGUGCUGGCCAGCCUAUGCUUCCUCGUGUAUUGGAUAGUGGAUAUGGUGUUGUAUGGUAGGCGAGGUAUAAGCAACUAG